CACCGGGAUGUUCAUAACCCUUUGUUGUCUGACUCUGUUGCCUCCGGGGCGACCCUGCCUUCGGGCGGGGGCUCCGGGUGGACACUUCAAACUCUUGCGUAACUUUGCAGUCUGAGUAAAUUAAUUAAUAAAUUAAAACUUUUAACAACGGAUCUCUUGGUUCUGGCAUCGAUGAAGAACGCAGCGAAAUGCGAUAAGUAAUGUGAAUUGCAGAAUUCAGUGAAUCAUCGAAUCUUUGAACGCACAUUGCGCCCCCUGGUAUUCCGGGGGGCAUGCCUGUUCGAGCGUCAUUUCACCACUCAAGCCUCGCUUGGUAUUGGGCAACGCGGUCCGCCGCGUGCCUCAAAUCGACCGGCUGGGUCUUCUGUCCCCUAAGCGUUGUGGAAACUAUUCGCUAAAGGGUGUUCGGGAGGCUACGCCGUAAAACAACCCCAUUUCUAAGGUUGACCUCGG
rnacentral:rRNA from 1 species